CAGUAGCCGCGGUAAUACGUAGGUGGCAAGCGUUAUCCGGAAUUAUUGGGCGUAAAGCGCGCGUAGGCGGUUUUUUAAGUCUGAUGUGAAAGCCCACGGCUCAACCGUGGAGGGUCAUUGGAAACUGGAAAACUUGAGUGCAGAAGAGGAAAGUGGAAUUCCAUGUGUAGCGGUGAAAUGCGCAGAGAUAUGGAGGAACACCAGUGGCGAAGGCGACUUUCUGGUCUGUAACUGACGCUGAUGUGCGAAAGCGUGGGGAUCAAACAGGAUUAGAUACCCCAGUAGUCCCUGUCUCUUAUAA
rnacentral:rRNA from 1 species